rnacentral:rRNA from 1 species
UACGUAGGGUGCAAGCGUUGUCCGGAUUUAUUGGGUUUAAAGGGUGCGUAGGUGGCUGAUUAAGUCAUGGGUGAAAGCCCGCAGCUCAACUGUGGAAUUGCCUGUGAUACUGAUUAGCUUGAGUGCGGUUGAGGCAGCUGGAAUUGGUGGUGUAGCGGUGAAAUGCAUAGAUACCACCAGGAACACCGAUUGCGAAGGCAGGUUGCUAAGCCGUAACUGACAAUGAGGCACGAAAGAGUGGGGAGCAAACAGG